rnacentral:rRNA from 1 species
AUUAGGAAUCUUGCGCAAUGGGCGAAAGCCUGACGCAGCGACGCCGCGUGGGGGAGGAAGUCCUUCGGGAUGUAAACCCCUUUUUGGAGGGAAGAAGCACUGACGGUACCUCCGGAAUAAGCCCCGGCUAACUACGUGCCAGCAGCCGCGGUAAUACGUAGGGGGCGAGCGUUGUCCGAAGUUACUGGGCGUAAAGCGCGCGUAGGCGGGCGAUUAAGUCGGAAGUGAAAGGCUGGGGCUCAACCCCAUGCAGUGCUUCCGAUACUGAUUGUCUUGAGGGCGGCAGGGAGAAGUGGAAUGGCUGGUGUAGCGGUGAAAUGCGUAGAUAUCAGUCGGAACACCGGUGGCGAAGGCGGCUUCUUGGGCCGUACCUGACGCUGAGGCGCGAAAGCCAGGGGAGCGAACGGGAUUAGAUACCCGAGUAGUCC